rnacentral:other from 1 species
UACAUCCUGCGGUGUGCGUUACGGCCUUCGUCGUUGUUUCGAACCAACACCCACAACAAGGGAGACCUACAUCGGAGCGCGGCUGAAAUGCCCCCGAAAGGGGAUUUCAAAAACGUUCCUGCGGUCACCCACCUGCCGAGAGCGGGUUCGGAAACAUCGGGCCGGACGGCAUUUGCGGGGGAUUC